rnacentral:rRNA from 1 species
UACGUAGGGUGCGAGCGUUAAUCGGAAUUACUGGGCGUAAAGAGCGCGCAGGCGGUCGUACAAGUCGCGUGUGAAAGCCCCCGGCUCAACUGGGGAGGGUCACGCGAUACUGUUCGACUCGAAGGCAGGAGAGGGAAGCGGAAUUCCCGGUGUAGUGGUGAAAUGCGUAGAUAUCGGGAGGAACACCAGUGGCGAAGGCGGCUUCCUGGCCUGUUCUUGACGCUGAGGCGCGAAAGCUAGGGUAGCAAACGGG